UACGGAGGGAGCUAGCGUUGUUCGGAAUUACUGGGCGUAAAGCGCACGUAGGCGGCUUUGCAAGUUAGCGGUGAAAGCCCAGGGCUUAACCCUGGAAUUGCCUUUAAGACUGCAUCGCUAGAAUCGUGGAGAGGUAAGUGGAAUUCCGAGUGUAGAGGUGAAAUUCGUAGAUAUUCGGAAGAACACCAGUGGCGAAGGCGACUUACUGGACACGUAUUGACGCUGAGGUGCGAAAGCGUGGGGAGCAAACAGG
rnacentral:rRNA from 1 species